rnacentral:rRNA from 1 species
AUACGGAAGGGGCAAGCGUUGUUCGGAGUCAUUGGGCGUAAAGGGCGCGUAGGCGGUCUUGUUUGUCUGCUGUGAAAGUCCACGGCUCACCCGUGGAGAGUCGGUAGAAACGGCAAGACUUGAGGCUGGGAGGGUUGGUGGAAUUCCCUGUGUAGCGGUGAAAUGCGUAGAUACGGGGGAGAACACUCGUGGCGAAGGCGGCCAGCUGGCCCAGUCCUGACGCUGAGGCGCGACAGCGUGGGGAGCAAACAGGA